rnacentral:rRNA from 1 species
AGUGAACGCUGGCGGUAGGCCUAACACAUGCAAGUCGAACGGCAGCACAGUAAGAGCCUGCUCUUACGGGUGGCGAGUGGCGGACGGGUGAGGAAUACAUCGGAAUCUACUUUUUCGUGGGGGAUAACGUAGGGAAACUUACGCUAAUACCGCAUACGACCUACGGGUGAAAGCAGGGGAUCUUCGGACCUUGCGCGAUUGAAUGAGCCGAUGUCGGAUUAGCUAGUUGGCGGGGUAAAGGCCCACCAAGGCGACGAUCCGUAGCUGGUCUGAGAGGAUGAUAAGCCACACUGGAACUGAGACACGGUCCAGACUCCUACGGGAGGCAGCAGUGGGGAAUAUUGGACAAGGGGCGCAAGCCUGAUCCAGCCAUACCGCGUGGGUGAAGAAGGCCUUCGGGUUGUAAAGCCCUUUUGUUGGGAAAGAAAAGCAGCAGGUUAAUACCCCGCUGUUCUGACGGUACCCAAAGAAUAAGCACCGGCUAACUGCGU